rnacentral:rRNA from 1 species
UACGGAAGGCAGCAGUGGGGAAUAUUGCACAAUGGGCGCAAGCCUGAUGCAGCCAUGCCGCGUGUAUGAAAGAAGGCCUUCGGGUUGUAAAGUACUUUCAGUCGUGAGGAAGGUGUUAAGGUUAAUAACCUUAGCAAUUGACGUUAGCGACAGAAGAAGCACCGGCUAACUCCGUGCCAGCAGCCGCGGUAAUACGGAGGGUGCGAGCGUUAAUCGGAAUUACUGGGCGUAAAGGGCACGCAGGCGGUUAAUUAAGUUGGAUGUGAAAUCCCCGGGCUUAACCUGGGAAUGGCAUUCAAGACUGGUUAGCUAGAGUCUUGUAGAGGGGGUAGAAUUCCAUGUGUAGCGGUGAAAUGCGUAGAGAUGUGGAGGAAUACCGGGUGGCGAAAGGCGGCCCCUGGGACAAAAGACUGACGCUCAUGUGCGAAAGCGUGGGGAGCAAACAGGAUUAGAUACC